rnacentral:rRNA from 1 species
GACGAACGCUGGCGGCGUGCUUAACACAUGCAAGUCGAACGGUGAAGCGCCUUCCUUUUUGGUGGGUGUGGAUGAGUGGCGAACGGGUGAGUAACACGUGAGUAACCUGCCCCCUUCUUCUGGAUAACCGCAUGAAAGUGUGGCUAAUACGGGAUAUUCUGGGUCUGUCGCAUGAUGGGUCUGGGAAAGAUAUUGUUUCGGUGGGGGAUGGGCUCGCGGCCUAUCAGCUUGUUGGUGGGGUGAUGGCCUACCAAGGCGGUGACGGGUAGCCGGCCUGGGAGGGUGGACGGUCACACUGGGACUGAGACACGGCCCAGACUCCUACGGGAGGCAGCAGUGGGGAAUAUUGCACAGUGGGCGCAAGCCUGAUGCAGCGACGCCGCGUGAGGGAUGGAGGCCUUCGGGUUGUGAACCUCUUUCGCCAGUGAAGCAGGCCUGCCUCGUUUGUGGGUGGGUUGACGGUAGCUGGAUAAGAAGCGCCGGCUAACUACGUG